UUUCGCAAUGCCCGAAAGGGUGACGAAGCGACGCCGCGUGUGGGAAGAAGGCCUUCGGGUUGUAAACCACUGUCGGGAGUUAGGAAAUGUAAGGGUGCUAAUAGUAUCCUUGCUUGACUAAGGCUCCGGAGGAAGCCACGGCUAACUCUGUGCCAGCAGCCGCGGUAAUACAGAGGCGGCAAGCGUUGUUCGGAAUUAUUGGGCGUAAAGAGCACGUAGGCGGCCUUGUAAGUCAGUUGUGAAAGCCUUCUGCUUAACGGAAGAACAGCAGCUGAUACUGCAAGGCUAGAGUGCGGAAGGGGAGAGUGGAACUUCUGGUGGAGCGGUGAAAUGCGUAGAUAUCAGAAGGAACACCGGCGGCGAAGGCGACUCUCUGGUCCGUAACUGACGCUGAGUGUGCGAAAGCUAGGGGAGCAAACGGGAUUAGAUACCCUGGUAGUCCUAGCCGUAAACGAUGGGCACUAAGUAGAGGGGUUUUA
rnacentral:rRNA from 1 species